CGGAGGGUGCAAGCGUUAUCCGGAUUCACUGGGUUUAAAGGGUGCGUAGGUGGGUUGGUAAGUCAGUGGUGAAAUCUCCGAGCUUAACUUGGAAACUGCCAUUGAUACUAUCAGUCUUGAAUAUUGUGGAGGUCAGCGGAAUAUGUCAUGUAGCGGUGAAAUGCUUAGAUAUGACAUAGAACACCAAUUGCGAAGGCAGCUGGCUACACAUAUAUUGACACUGAGGCACGAAAGCGUGGGGAUCAAACAGGAUUAGAUACCCUGGUAGUCCACGCCCUAAACUAUGGAUACUCGACAUACGCGAUACACAGUGUGUGUCUGAGCGAAAGCAUUAAGUAUCCCACCUGGGAAGUACGAUCGCAAGAUUG
rnacentral:rRNA from 1 species